CAGCCGCCGCGGGAAUACGAAGGGUGCAAGCGUUACUCGGAAUUACUGGGCGUAAAGCGUGCGUAGGUGGUGGUUUAAGUCCGUUGUGAAAGCCCUGGGCUCAACCUGGGAAUUGCAGUGGAUACUGGGUCACUAGAGUGUGGUAGAGGAUAGUGGAAUUUCCGGUGUAGCAGUGAAAUGCGUAAAGAUCGGAAGGAACAUCUGUGGCGAAGGCGACUAUCUGGGCCAACACUGACACUGAGGCACGAAAGCGUGGGGAGCAAACAGGAUUAGAUACCCCCGUAGUCCCUGUCUCUUAUAC
rnacentral:rRNA from 1 species